GCUUGAACCCGGGAGGCGGAGACUGCAGUAAGCCGAGACGCGCCACUGCACUCCAGCCUGGGUGACAGAGCGAGACUCCAUUUAAAAAAAAAAAAAAAAGGAAAAGGUACAAAGUUUUGUAUACACGUUUAAAGGAGGUAGGCCAGGCACGGUGGCUCCGCCUGUAAUCCUAGCACUUUGAGAGGCCGAGGCAGGCAGAUUGCUUGAGCUCAGGAGUUCAGGACCAGCCUGGGCAACAUGGCAAAACCCCAUCUCUACAAAAAAAUACAGAAAAUUAGCCAGGCGUGGUGGCGAGCUCCUGUAGUGCCACCUACUUGGGGGUCUGAAGUGGGAGGAUCACUUGCACCUGAGAGGUGGAGACCGCAGUGAGCUAAGAUUGCACCACUUCACUGCACUCCAGUCUGGGCGACAGAGUGAGACCCUAUCUCAAAAAAAAAAAAAAAUGCUUAGAGGGGGUAUGAAUUCUCUGGAAUUUGCUCAUUAGAUUAUAAGUGAAGAUGACCAGGGUAAAUGCCAUUUGACCCAAGGUGCACUAAAAUAUGAUCCAUCUAAUGCAGAUUCUGGCAAACUUAAUCUAACCAUUAGCAGCUCAUGGAGUUGACUGAAUUCAGCCAGCUCUCCUUAGAAGUUAUUUUCUCAGAUCUUAUUGCCAUCUUUUCAUUCUUUCUGAUCUGCAUUAGUCUUACUUUGUGGAACAUGGCAGUAGGCCUGGGACUCUUAGAGAGUCCCCAUCCUUGUAAUGAGCAAAAAGAAUAUUGUUGCGCAUUCCUAUCGGGCUCUUAAGAUUUCUUCCCAACCAUACUGCUUUCUAGGUACCACUGUAGUGCCCUUGUAACCCUUAGAUCUUUUCUUGCUGUGUUCAACACAGAGCCUGGCAUACUAUAACUGUAGCUGGUUUCUCCCAUUUCCUUCUGGAUUCCACAUGGCCCCCUAUUCUAUUUCAUCCUUUUGGGAAUGUGUAAUCUUUGACACUUAUAUUCCUAAACCCACUUUGGUAUAAUCUGGAAACUUUAUGGCAUGCUCUAGUCUGUGACAAUCAGGAUAACCCUGAUUAUACCAGCUUCUAAUCAACUACAUAAAGCGGGUGAACACCAGGGUCACCAACACCCAUUUCCCAACUGCGGUGCACAGCAGCUUUUUAGCUUUGCCAACAUUUGGGCCGGCACAUGUGUUUGUGCGUGAUUAUUUGUCUCAUGUACUAUUGAAUAAACG
rnacentral:lncRNA from 1 species